rnacentral:ncRNA from 2 species
GGCUUGUGUCGCCAAUAUACUUAGACACCCAUAAAACCAGGCACUAGGGUUGCGCUGGGGAAGGAACUUCCGUGCAGUAGCGGAGACUUGUUGCCACUAUCCUUGACAGGACGCAAUUCACGGUAUGAAACGAAUUGGCACUAG